rnacentral:rRNA from 1 species
GGUAAAUUACUCAUGGCGUAUGGUGGAUGCCUUGACUGAAGUAAGCGACGAAGGACGUAGCGAUCUGCGAUAAGCCUCGGGGAGCUGAUGAGCAAGCUUUGAUCCGGGGAUUUCCAAAUGGGGAAACCCAUCCCAAUUUGCGUUGGGAUAUCAUCAACUGAAUACAUAGGUUGAUGAAGCGCACCCAGGGAACUGAAACAUCUUAGUACCUGGAGGAAAAGAAAAUAAAAUGAUUCCGUCAGUAGUGGCGAGCGAAAGCGGAAGAGCCUAAACCGUUCGCACUUGUGCGAGCGGGGUUGCGAGGUAACGACGUCCUAUCUUAUUAAGUUUCCCGCUUGCGGGACGCUUAAUAAGCAAUGGGAGUAGAGUUACAAAUUGUUUCGUUAGCAGAACACCCUUGGAAAGAGGGACCGCAGAAGGUAAUAGUCCUGUAUGCAAAAACGAAACAACUUUAUUGUUGUUAUUCUCAAGUAAGGCGGGACCGGAGAAAUCCCGUCUGAAGCCGGGGCCACUAUAGCUCCAAGGCUAAAUAUUACUUCAGAUCGAUAGUGAACUAGUACCGUGAGGGAAAGGUGAAAAGAACCCCUUUGAGGGGAGUGAAAUAGAACUGAAAUCAUACGCUUACGAAGAGUCAGAGUCCCGGCACUUGUGUCGGGGUGAUGGCGUGCUUUUUGCAGAACGAGCCAACGAGUUAAUUCUAUGCGGCUUGCAUAAGCUACUUAUGUAGAAUAUGCGUAGUGAAAGCGAGCCUUAACCGGCGACCAUGUCGCAUGGAUUAGACCCGAAGCCGGGCGAGCUACAUAUGAGCAGGGUGAACGAAGAGUAACAUCUUCGGGAGGCCCGAACCCACGCGCCGUUCAACACGCGGGGAUGACUUGUGUGUAGAGGAGAAAUUCCAAUCGAGCUCGGCCAUAGCUGGUUCUUCCCGAAAUAGCUUGAGGGCUAGCGUCGGGGAACAUAAUCACGGGAGGUAGAGCUACUGAAUGAGGGAUCAUGGAGCAAUCCUAGGUCUCUCAACCAAACUCCGAAUGCCCGUGAUUUUAUCCCGGCAGUCAGAACGUGAGGGCUAAGCUUCACGCUCAAAAAGGAAACAGCCUAGACCGCCGUCUAAGGUCCCUGAAUCUAUGUUAAGUGGAAAAGGAAGUGAGAUCUCCCAGACACCUAGGAGGUUGGCUUAGAAGCAGCCAUCCUUUAAAGAGUGCGUAACAGCUCACUAGUCCAGAGAUUUCGCGCCGAAAAUGUAACGGGGCUAAACAUAGUACCGAAGACGCGGACUCCGAUUUAUCGGAGUGGUAGGGAAGUGUUCUCAUCUGCUGCGAAGCCGAAGGCGUGAGCCACGGUGGAGCGAUGAGAAGUAAGAAUGUUGGCAUGAGUAACCGCAAUUAGAGUGAGAACCUCUGACGCCGAAAGUCUAAGGUUUCCUGGGCAAUGUCGAUCAACCCAGGGUUAGGCGGUCCUAAGGCGAGGCCGAAAGGCGUAGUCGAUGGAUAGCCGGUUAAUAUUCCGGCCCCGCAAUAUUAUUCGAUGGAGUGACGUAUCCUAGUAGUCUCUGCCCCUUAUUGGAUUGGGGUAGGCGCAUUGAGGACGUUCGCGAGGCAAAUCCCGCGAGCACAAAUCCAAGGUGCGACUGGAAGUCCGAUUUAUCGGGUGAACGGAGAUGAGCAGGGUACCGGGAAAAACUUCUAAGGUUAAUAAUAUUGCGUCCGUACUUAAAACCGACACAGGUGGACUGGGCGAGUAGCCUAAGGCGAACGGGAGAACCCUUGUUAAGGAACUCGGCAAAACAACUAGACGUAACUUCGGGAGAUGUCUCGCCCCGAUUCGUAUCGGGGCCGCAGUUAAAGAUUCCUGGCGACUGUUUAUCAAAAACACAAGUCUCUGCAAACCCGUAAGGGGAAGUAUAGGGGCUGACACCUGACCAGUGCUGGAACGUUAACGGGAGCGGUGCAAGCCAAUCCCCGAAGCGCCAGUGAACGUCAGCGAUAACUAUAAUCGUUCUAAGGUAGCGAAAUUCCUUGUCGGGUAAGUUCCGACCCGCAUUAAAGGUGUAACGACUGGGAAACUGUCUCAACAAGGGACCCGGUGAAAUCGCAAUGACGGUAAAGAUGCCGUCGACCUACGGCAAGACGAAAAGACCCCGUGGAGCUUUACUACAACUUGGUAUUGGGUUGUGUUUUUAGUUGCCUAGCAUAGGUGGGAGGCUUUGAAGUCCCGAUUUCGGUCGGGAUGGAGCCGCCAGUGUAAUACCACCCUUCUGAAGUCGCAAUUCUAACCCUGAUCUGUUAGUUGGAUUAUAUAGAAAAUAUGAUCAAUUAAUGGUAUUCAGAAAAGUGUAAAGGACACGAUAAUGAUUAUCAUUAAUGAUGAUUAUAUUUACUAACGCGCCCAAUUUAUUGUCUAGCGAAGCGAGAGAAAUUAAAACAAGUUUUAAUUUCCGAGCGAGCGACGACAUCAAAGGGUUUACCCUUUAUAAUUCAACUACCAGAUCGGGGACAGUGCCUGGUGGGUAGUUUGACUGGGGCGGUCGCCUCCCAAAAAGUAACGGAGGCGUUUACAAAGGUUGGCUAGAUCCGGAUGGAAAUCGGAUCGAUAGCGCAAACACACAAGCCAGCUUUACUGGAAGACCUAUAAGUCGACCAGUCACGAAAGUGGAAGUUAGUGAACCGACCAUCGCUUAUAGGAGCGUGGAAGAUCAUCAGAUAAAAGUUACCCCGGGGAUAACAGGCUAAUCCCUCCCAAGAGUCCACAUCGACGGAGGGGUUUGGCACCUCGAUGUCGGCUCAUCGCAUCCUGGGGCUGGAGAAGGUCCCAAGGGUAUGGCUGUUCGCCAUUUAAAGCGGUACGCGAGCUGGGUUCAAACCGUCGUGAGACAGGUUGGUCUCCUAUCUGCUGUGGGCGUUGUUGCUUGAGAAGAGUCUUUCCUAGUACGAGAGGACCGGAAAGAACAAACCUCUGGUGUACGAGCUGUUCCGCCAGGAGCACUGCUCGGUAGCUAUGUUUGGAAAGGAUAACCGCUGAAAGCAUAUAAGCGGGAAGCCUCCUUCAAGAUAAGGCAACUGUUGAAGCUUGCUUCAACAUGAUUUCCUAGAAGAUGACUAGGUUGAUAGGUCUCAGAUGCAAGUGCAGCAAUGCAUUAAGUCGAGAGAUACUAAUAAAUCAAAAUUACACUCU